rnacentral:misc_RNA from 1 species
AAAACAAAGCAUCUAAUACGGCCUUUUUGGGCCCAGUUUUGCGCCACUGCAAGAUGAUGGUCGUGUUCCGGGUGCGACUGUGGUCCGCAUUCGAGUGAGUGUCUUUCAUUUUCAUGCAAUUUUUAUGUGCGCUCUAUUCGUUAACCAGAUUGAAAACUUGUGCUUGAGAAAUGUUAAUCCAAGUCACUUUGGGCUGAACCACGAACAAUCAAUGAAAACCAUAUUAAAAUACCACAAAAAGAACAGCAGGCUAUAAAAAUAAGGAUACCAAUCGUAAUAUAAAAAGUCCACAGUGGAUAGUCAAUGAGUUGAUUCUUAGACGUCGUGGCUUCGUACUGGAAUAGAUCCCAUUGUUUGACUGGAUUGGAGAAUAUGGCAUACAGAUUGGUAUAUGGAAAGUACAGCCGCGGCGCAAAUGUUCUCCGUGGACAAAUCACAGCACAUGUUGACAUUAGCUGCGAAUUAUGGAAAGACAAGUGCAGCAGAAGACGAAGACCGUCGCGGGGAUGGGGGCAGACACAGCGACAGGACGCAGGACAUUGGGACACACUUGAAAAAUACAAAUGACACAUUUUAUUGAUGUUAAUUUAAUGCAAGAAAUAAAACAGGCGGCGCUGCAGCCAAAAUAAAA